UACGGGGGGGGCAAGCGUUGUUCGGAAUUACUGGGCGUAAAGGGUUCGUAGGUGGCUUGUUAAGUCAGACGUGAAAUCCCUCGGCUCAACCGGGGAACUGCGUCUGAGACUGAUGAGCUCGAGUGCAGGAGAGGAACGCGGAAUUCCAGGUGUAGCGGUGAAAUGCGUAGAUAUUGGGAAGAACACCGGUGGCGAAGGCGGCGACCUGGUCCUUGACUGACGCUGAGGCGCGAAAGCGUGGGGAGCAAACAGG
rnacentral:rRNA from 1 species